rnacentral:rRNA from 1 species
UUUAAAUGUAAAAUAAAUAUACUAAAGUAGUAUUAGUUAUGUUCUUGAAAUUUAAAGAUUUUGGCGGUAUUUUAGUCUAUUUAGAGGAGCCUGUUCUGUAAUUGAUGAUCCACGAUUAAUUUUACUUAAUUUCUAUAAAUUUGUAUACCGUCGUUAUAAGAAGAUUUUAAAAGAAUAUAAAUUUUUAAUAUUUUAUAUAAAAAAAUAUAUCAGAUCAAGGUGCAGUUUAUAAUUAAGGAGAAAUGGGCUACAAUAAAUUUAUUUAUACGGAUUAAAAUAAGAAUAUGAUUUUAUGAAGGUGGAUUUAAUAGUAAUAAAGUUUAUUUAAAUUUUAUGAUUUUAGCUCUAAAAUAUG